rnacentral:rRNA from 1 species
AGUGAACGCUGGCGGUAGGCCUAACACAUGCAAGUCGAACGGCAGCACAGUAAGAGCUUGCUCUUACGGGUGGCGAGUGGCGGACGGGUGAGGCAUACAUCGGAAUCUACUUUUUCGUGGGUGAUAACGUAGGGAAACUUACGCUAAUACCUCAUACGACCUACGGGUGAAAGCAGGGGAUCUUCGGACCUUGCGCGAUUGAAUGAGCCGAUGUCGGAUUAGCUAGUUGGCGGGGUAAAGGCCCACCAAGGCGACGAUCCGUAGCUGGUCUGAGAGGAUGAUCAGCCACACUGGAACUGAGACACGGUCCAGACUCCUACGGGAGGCAGCAGUAGGGAAUAUUGGACAAUGGGCGCAAGCCUGAUCCAGCCAUACCGCGUGGGUGAAGAAGGCCUUCGGGUUGUAAAGCCCUUUUGUUGGGAAAGAAAAGCAGCAGGUUAAUACCCCGCUGUUCUGACGGUACCCAAAGAAUAAGCAACGGCUAACUUCGUG